GGGAGAACAUGCAACCUCCACACAAGAAGGCCAAAGCCAGAAUCGAACCCUGCACCUCUGCACUAAAACGCCGCCCGGGGAAUGGAACUGGAACAACACCAACGGAUAACAGUCUCUGCUUUCUACGAAAAUCCUCUGGGGAAGAAUGUGAGAAACGUUUCCUGCGGUGAGUCAGAAUCAGGCCGUCAUGCACACGCUGUGAGAACUUAUCAACGGGCCGGCAGACAAUGAUCCAAUU